CUCAAAUGUUGCAUUUUCUAAGACCUCCCUGGCCCGCCAUACGCCGAUCCUGAACCUACGAAAACCCAAGACUGCGGGCACGGUGGCUCAUGCCUGUAAUCCCAGCACUUUGGGAGGCCGAGGCGGGCAGAUCACGAGGUCAAGAAGUCGAGACCAGCCUUGCUAACAUGGCGAAACCCUGACUCUACUGAAAAUACAAAAAUUAGCUGGGCGUGAUGGCGUGCGCGCCUGUAGUCCCAGCUGCUCGGGAGGCUGAGGUAGGAGAAUCGCUUCAAUCCGGGAGGUGGAGGUUGCGGUAAGCAGAGAUUGCGCCACUGCACUCUAGCCUGGCGACAGAGACUCCUUCAAAAACAACAACAACAACAACAACAACAACAAAACAAAACCUCCCAAGACCCUAGUGGGCAGACACACAGCCAGCCAGACAUGGAGAGGAGCACAUUAGCAGAAGAAGACGCAAGUGGCUGGUCCUCGAGAGGACGUUGAGAGGAGCAUGCCAGCAGAAGAGCACACAACGACAGGCACCGACACACCACCGGCAGGCCAUGCACCAGCAGAAUGAUGCGGAGUUUGACGGGGCAGUCAGAGAAGAGCCUGGGCCGCCAAGGGGCCCGACUCCAGGGGAAAACCAUCUCCCUUCUGGCUCCCCCAUCUGCUGAGAGCUACUUCUACUCAAUAAAACCUUGCACUCAUUCUCCAAGCCCACGUGUAAUCCGAUUCUUCAGGUAAGCCAGGGCAAGAAACCCCAGGAUACAGAAAUCCUUCUGUCCUUGUGAUAAGAAAGGGGGUGUAAUUGAGCUAACACAAACCGCCUAUAGAUGGCAACCUAAAAGAGCAUCCUGUAACACACGCCCGCCCACUGGGGCUUCAGGAGCUGUAAAUAUUCACCCCUAGACACUGCUGUGCGAUCGGAGCCCCACAGCCUGCCCGCCUGUAUGCUCCCCUAGAGGUCUGAGCAGCAGGGCACUGAAGAAUCGAGCCACACCUCAUCACACACCCUGCGAGGGGGACAAGGGAGCUUUUCCCAUAUCAAGUAGAUUGCCCUGGUGCUGCAGAAGCAGGAAAAACAGGACCUGCCCAUACCCAAGAGCCCGGCAACUCUGGCUAGAGUGAGGCCUGAAAUUGUGUCCGGAAUUGGUGGGUUCUUGGUCUCACUGGCUUCCUCUCAAAAUCACGCUCAAGAGACGCCACAGUUAGAGCACAAAUGUGGAGGAAAAAUGAAGGCAAAGCAAAAUAACAGGCAAGUCUGAAAACAAAAGUGUUGCCAGUCACGCUAAGCCUCAGGCACGCAUUCUGAAUGAAGCUAAAGUUUAAAGUCCCCUCUGAUAGAUUUGUGACUUAAAUGUCCACACUAGCAAGUGUGUUUCUCACAUGGAGAAGUAGCACGAUUUUAUGUCAGGAAAGGGAUGAGAACAUGCUUCUUGAACACAUACAAUGCUGAAGACAUUUCCUGGAAAACCAUUGGCCUUUGCUUAGGACAGUUGCAUCACACAGAGAUGUUUGUGGUUCAGAUUUAUAAGAAACAUGGGAACUGAAGCCAAAGCACUACUUUUGCUCAGUAUAACCAGGUGCCAGAUCUAAAGUGUUAGGCAGGUUCCUAUAUGUAUGUUAGAAAAAAGUUGCCCAAGUUUUGGACAAUUCCUUUUCCAUCUCUCUUACAAGUCAACAAAUCGAAGCAAUAAACUAUUCUCUGAAGAAAACAAAUUUAUUUGGUUGAUUCAAACUUUUAAUGAGACUAUUACUCCCCUGUGUGCCUUUCCUUUCUCUGGUUCUAGAAAUACAUCUAGAAAGGGGGAAAAUGUUAAUAUAUUUUCUACUGACUUUAUAUCACAAAUGCUUAGCUUAGAGGGUGGACUCUGAGGAACAGUGUCCUUUCCAAAUAUUAUAAAACUUUGUGUUCAUUCUGGAAAAACAAACAAAAUUAAUCACAAUGAUUUCCUGCUUUGGAGCAAUGAGAAAUGGGAGGGAAACUUCACCUUUUCAUAGCUUUUGAUGUUUGCACCAUGUGAAUUACCCACCCCCAAAUUUAAAAUACGAAUUUUUGAAAAAGUGUUUACCUCUGAGAAGAGAAACUAGUAGUGAAGAAUGAGGAGCUGUAGAUUUUUAACGAUUCUGAUGUAUUUGCAUUUUUCCCAAUGUUCAUGAAUAAAUAAAUGUGCAUUCAUA
rnacentral:lncRNA from 1 species